rnacentral:tRNA from 1 species
CAUUAAGAAGCUAAUAGCGCUAACCUUUUAAGUUAGAGAUGGGGAAUAAGUCUUUCUCCUUAAUGA